rnacentral:lncRNA from 1 species
GCCUUAAGAGGCACGAGCGCUCAGACCCCCCUGUGGCUCACGCUCUCCUCCUUCCACGUUCGCGUUCAGUUCUCUCUCUCUCUCUCUCUCUCUCUCUCUCUUCUUUUCCCGGCUGGCGCCGUCCGCCCCGCGCGCCCCUCAGAACGUCUGCAGCUGCUGUGUCAACAUGAGCUGGCACCCGCUGUUCACGUGAUUCAUCACCUUCUGCUUGAGCUGGGCCACCUGCUCGCGCAGCAUGUUGGCCGUGGACGCGAGCUCCGAGUUCUGGGACUUGAGCGUCUUCACUUUAUCCUCCAGCCUGGAGAUCCUCUCCAGCUUCCUCUUGCGGCACUUGGAGGCGGCCACCCUGUUCCUCAUGCGCUUCCUCUCGGCCUUGAUGCGCUCCUGGGUCUCCAUGUCGAUGGGCGAGAGCGGAGGGGUCUCUCCGGGCAUCUCCGGCACCGUCUGUGGCUCUUCUUUCAGCGCCUGCAGCCGCGGGUGCUGAACGGACAGCUGGCUGCUCAUGUGGUGCUGGGGCUGGGGCUGGGACUGGUGCUGGGACUGGGGCUGGUGCUGGUGCUGGGACUGGGCCACGGAGUAGCUCAGCGUCAGGUUAGCGCUGCUGUAAGUGACGGCCGCCGCCGUGGUCAUGGUCUGGUUGAACGUGGUCAGGUCCGUGUACUCCGGCGGCUCCGAGCGCAUGAUGGUGCAGCUGUACGGCGUGCUCCCGGCCAUGGAGGACGCAGCCGUCAAGUCGCCGGCGAUGCUGCUCGUCUGCGCGGCUGCAGCGACGUUUACUCCGUUGGGCAUGUGCUGAUGGUGCAGCUCGGCGAGCGCCCUCACGAAGCCCUCGGCGAAGCCCUCCUGCUCGUCGGUGACGUUCUUGGGGCACAGGAACUGGGUGGGAGUCGGGGUGGUGGUGAUGAGGCCGUUGCUCGACUGGAUGAUGAGCCUCUCCAGCUCGGGGGAUGCCAGCUUGAGCAGCCCGACGUCGGGAGAUGUGAGGAGGUCGCUGGCCUUGGGUCGCAGGUGCGGCUUCAGCGUGGCGGCGGGGUCGGACAGGUUCAGCGUCAUGUUCUCCUUCAGCGCCUUGCGGCUGUAUCCGUAACCGACAGCGUCGUGCUGAGAGAAGCCCGUGUUCAGAGAGUCAUCGUAGAAAGUCGUUUCCAUCUUGGUAGACAUAGAACAACAAGCAAGCAGAGCUGCUGA